AGGGAUUGCCUCAGUAACGGCGAGUGAAGCGGCAACAGCUCAAAUUUGAAAUCUGGCCUCUGGCCCGAGUUGUAAUUUGCAGAGGAUGCUUCGGGCGCGGUGCCUUCCAAGUCCCCUGGAACGGGGCGCCGGAGAGGGUGAGAGCCCCGUACGGUUGGCGGCCAAGCCUGUGUGAAGCUCCUUCGACGAGUCGAGUAGUUUGGGAAUGCUGCUCUAAGCGGGAGGUAGACCCCUUCUAAAGCUAAAUAUUGGCCAGAGACCGAUAGCGCACAAGUAGAGUGAUCGAAAGAUGAAAAGCACUUUGAAAAGAGGGUUAAACAGCACGUGAAAUUGUUGAAAGGGAAGCGCUUGCGACCAGACGUGCGCCGGGGUGCUCAGCGGGCGUUCUCGCCCGUGCACUCGCCCCGGCGCAGGCCAGCGUCGGUUUGGGCGGGGGGAUAAAGGCGCCUGGAAUGUGGCUCCCUCGGGAGUGUUAUAGCCAGGCGUGCCAUGCCUCCGCCCGGACCGAGGUACGCGUUCUGCAAGGACGCUGGCGUAAUGGUCCCCAGCGACCCGUCUUGAAACACGGACCAAGGAGUCGAGGUUUUGCGCGAGUGUUUGGGUGGAAAACCCGCACGCGUAAUGAAAGUGAACGUAGGUGAGAGCUUCGGCGCAUCACCGACCGAUCCUGAUGUUCUCGGAUGGAUUUGAGUAAGAGCGUAGGGCCUCGGACCCGAAAGAUGGUGAACUAUGCUUGGAUAGGGUGAAGCCAGAGGAAACUCUGGUGGAGGCUCGCAGCGGUUCUGACGUGCAAAUCGAUCGUCAAAUCUGAGCAUGGGGGCGAAAGACUAAUCGAACCAUCUAGUAGCUGGU
rnacentral:rRNA from 1 species